AUUUAUUUAGUAUAAAACGUACAAUUGACUUCCAAUCAAAAAGGCUGGUAAACCAGAAUAAAUA
rnacentral:tRNA from 1 species